rnacentral:rRNA from 1 species
GACGAACGCUGGCGGCGUGCCUAAUACAUGCAAGUCGAACGAGUGGCGGACGGGUGAGUAACACGUGGGAAACUAGCCAUCAGAGAGGGAGAACACAUGGAAACAGGUGCUCAUAGCGCAUACUGAUGGAUGGACUCGUGGUGCAUUAGCUAGUUGGUGGGGUAUCGGCUGACCAAGGCAACGAUGCAUAACCGACCGGAGAGGAUGAUCAGCCACACUGGAACUGAGACACGGCCCAGACUCCUACGGGAGGCAGCAGUGGGGAAUAUUGCACAAUGGGCGAAAGCCUGAUGCAGCCAUGCCGCGUGUGUGAAGAAGGCCUGCGGGUUGUAAAGCACUUUCAGCGGGGAGGCGUUACUCGCAGAAGAAGCACCGGCUAACUCCGUGCCAGCAGCCGCGGUAAUAC